rnacentral:rRNA from 2 species
GGGUUGUGAGGUUAAGCGACUAAGCGUACACGGUGGAUGCCCUGGCAGUCAGAGGCGAUGAAGGGCGUGCUAAUCUGCGAUAAGCGCCGGUAAGGUGAUAUGAACCGUUAUAACCGGCGAUACCCGAAUGGGGAAACCCAGUGUGACUCGUCACACUAUCAUUAACUGAAUCCAUAGGUUAAUGAGGCGAACCGGGGGAACUGAAACAUCUAAGUACCCCGAGGAAAAGAAAUCAACCGAGAUUCCCCCAGUAGCGGCGAGCGAACGGGGAGGAGCCCAGAGCCUGAAUCAGCAUGUGUGUUAGUGGAAGCGUCUGGAAAGGCGCGCGAUACAGGGUGACAGCCCCGUACACAAAAGCGCACAUGCUGUGAGCUCGAUGAGUAGGGCGGGACACGUGGUAUCCUGUCUGAAUAUGGGGGGACCAUCCUCCAAGGCUAAAUACUCCUGACUGACCGAUAGUGAACCAGUACCGUGAGGGAAAGGCGAAAAGAACCCCGGCGAGGGGAGUGAAAAAGAACCUGAAACCGUGUACGUACAAGCAGUGGGAGCCCCACCACCAAAGCAUUCUCUGGUGUUGAAGGCCCUGCAAAGCAGCAUCGCGGUGGCGGAGCGUCGUUUGCGACGCCCAACACACAAAACAAGCGGUGAGUGCUUUGGGGUGGGGUGACUGCGUACCUUUUGUAUAAUGGGUCAGCGACUUAUAUUCUGUAGCAAGGUUAACCGAAUAGGGGAGCCGGAGGGAAACCGAGUCUUAAU